GGAAUCUUCGGCAAUGGACGAAAGUCUGACCGAGCAACGCCGCGUGAGUGAAGAAGGUUUUCGAAUCGUAAAACUCUGUUGGUAGAGAAGAACGUUGGUGAGAGUGGAAAGCUCAUCAAGUGACGGUAACUACCCAGAAAGGGACGGCUAACUACGUGCCAG
rnacentral:rRNA from 1 species